rnacentral:sRNA from 1 species
AUUUAGCUAAUCUCCCAAGUCUGGCAGGGGGAGGGUCUUUUAGGAGAGGCCAGCUGCAGCCGGCAGUGGAGAGCCUGGGCAGGGAGCCAGGGAGAAAACUCCGGCAGCAGGGUGUUCUCUAGGGCUGACCUCGGAGCCUGGGGACAGGGGAGCCUAUGCCGCACUGAAGGCGGGACGCUGUAAGCGAGGAGCAGCUGGGCCUGGGCGGACUCCUCGGCCAAUCAGCCUCGACUCGUUUGUGAACAGCCAGGAGUGGACGCUGAGCCGCUCCGUACCGGAGCUUAAAGUGGGCAUAGUGGGGAACCUGUCUAGCGGGAAGUCAGCCCUGGUGCACCGCUAUCUGACGGGGACCUAUGUCCAGGAGGAGUCCCCUGAAGGGGGACGGUUUAAGAAGGAGAUUGUGGUGGAUGGCCAGAGUUAUCUGCUGCUGAUCCGAGAUGAAGGAGGCCCCCCUGAGCUCCAGUUUGCUGCCUGGGUGGAUGCAGUGGUGUUUGUAUUCAGCCUGGAGGAUGAAAUCAGUUUCCAGACGGUGUACAACUACUUCCUGCGUCUCUGCAGCUUCCGCAACGCCAGCGAGGUGCCCAUGGUGCUUGUGGGCACGCAG